rnacentral:sRNA from 1 species
UCAGUAAAGAAGUUCUGAGUAAACACGUUGACGUUGAAUACCGCUUCCUUGCCGAUUUUUAAAAUAUAAUGCCUCAUGCAGUCAUGUCUCUGGUUUUUCUGUACUUAAGCCUCAGGGCGAAUAAACAUUCUAAGGAAUUUGUAAAAUGGCAAAGAUUAAAGGUCAGGUUAAGUGGUUCAACGAGUCUAAAGGUUUUGGCUUCAUUACUCCUGCUGACGGCAGCAAAGACGUGUUCGUUCACUUCUCUGCUAUCCAGGGUAACGGCUUCAAAACGCUGGCUGAAGGCCAGAACGUUGAGUUUGAAAUUCAGGAUGGUCAGAAAGGCCCGGCAGCGGUUAACGUUACUGCUAUCU